GGGGAAUAUUGCACAAUGGGGGAAACCCUGAUGCAGCGACGCCGCGUGAGUGAAGAAGUUAUUCGUAACGUAAAGCUCUAUCAGCAGGGAAGAAAAUGACGGUACCUGACUAAGAAACCCCGGCUAACUACGUGCCAGCAGCCGCGGUAAAACGUAGGGUGCAAGCGUUGUCCGGAAUUACUGGGUGUAAAGGGAGCGCAGGCGGGAAGACAAGUUGGAAGUGAAAACCAUGGGCUCAACCCAUGAAUUGCUUUCAAAACUGUUUUUCUUGAGUAGUGCAGAGGUAGGCGGAAUUCCUAGUGUAGCGGUGAAAUGCGUAGAUAUUAGGAGGAACACCAGUGGCGAAGGCGGCCAACUGGGCUUUAACUGACGCUGAGGCUCGAAAGUGUGGGGAGCAAACAGGAUUAGAUACCCUGGUAGUCCACACUGUAAACGAUGAUAACUAGGUGUGGGGGGUCUGACCCCUUCCGUGCCGCAGCUAACGCAAUAAGUUAUCCACCUGGGGAGUACGACCGCAAGGUUGAAACUCAAAGGAAUUGACGGGGACCCGCACAAGCAGUGGAUUAUGUGGUUUAAUUCGAAGCAACGCGAAGAACCUUACCAGCACUUGACAUCCGACUAACGAAGUAGAGAUACAUUAGGUGCCCUUCGGGGAAAGUCGAGACAGGUGGUGCAUGGUUGUCGUCAGCUCGUGUCGUGAGAUGUUGGGUUAAGUCCCGCAACGAGCGCAACCCCUGCCAUUAGUUGCUACGCAAGAGCACUCUAAUGGGACCGCUACCGACAAGGUGGAGGAAGGUGGGGACGAUGUCAAAUCAUCAUGCCCCUUAUGUGCUGGGCUACACACGCAAUACAAUGGCCAUCAACAAAGAGAAGCAAUACCGCGAGGUGGAGCAAAACUAUAAAAAUGGUCUCAGUUCGGACUGCAGGCUGCAACCCGCCUGCACGAAGUUGGAAUUGCUAGUAAUCGUGGAUCAGCAUGCCACGGUGAAUACGUUCCCG
rnacentral:rRNA from 1 species